GACGAACGCUGGCGGCGUGCUUAACACAUGCAAGUCGAACGGAAAGGCCCUGCUUUUGUGGGGUGCUCGAGUGGCGAACGGGUGAGUAACACGUGAGUAACCUGCCCUUGACGUUGGGAUAACUUCAGGAAACUGGGGCUAAUACCGGAUAGGAGCUCCUGCUGCAUGGUGGGGGUUGGAAAGUUUCGGCGGUUGGGGAUGGACUCGCGGCUUAUCAGCUUGUUGGUGGGGUAGUGGCUUACCAAGGCUUUGACGGGUAGCCGGCCUGAGAGGGUGACCGGCCACAUUGGGACUGAGAUACGGCCCAGACUCCUACGGGGGGCAGCAGUGGGGAAUAUUGCACAAUGGGCGGAAGCCUGAUGCAGCAACGCCGCGUGCGGGAUGACGGCCUUCGGGUUGUAAACCGCUUUCGCCUGUGACGAAGCGUGAGUGACGGUAAUGGGUAAAGAAGCACCGGCUAACUACGUG
rnacentral:rRNA from 1 species